UCUUGAUGAAGUGUCCCUUUGAUCAUUAUAUAUUGUCCCUCUGUGUCUCUCUUUACCUGUCUUAUUUUGAAAUCCACUUGGUCUGAUAUAAGAAUUAGGCAAAGAAUUUUUUUUCUCUGUCUGAUAGGCGGUCAGAAAUUAAACACGUUAAUCUCUGCUACUGUGUAUAAGGCCAAAUAUUAUUCCAGGGCUAUUAAACGGUUGUCAACAGCUGCUCUGAAAUCACAGACAGUGUCUAAUCCAGGUCUCAGAGGCUCCGCCUCACUCCUGGCUGCCUCACUGCCCCUCUGAACACCUUCAACACGUCAAUGGCUUGAUCCAGGAGCAAUUCAAACAACUCCUCUCCAGGUUCUGUGUCUGUGCUUCUUGGAAACCCCUCUUUAGAGGGCUUCUCUUGUAAGUUUAUUUGAGAGUAAAGAGGAUUUGCAUUAUAUUCACUUCCAUGCCAGUUAAAUGCGGUAGUUGAUGCUCCAUGUUAGUUUUCACUCCAUCAGAACCUUUGUUCAAUUGGAUCUUGGGUACUUCCUGGAAUUCUGUGGCUAUGGCUUUCAAUAUACUAAUUAUACUCAUAAGCAUCUGAUGAACAUUUUCUUGUAGUAGACAGUAUUCUAAACUACAUGCAUCAUCACAUUUCAUUGUCACAAAAUCCUUUGAGGUUAGUAUAAUUAUUUUUUAAAAUUAUUAGUCUGAGUAUGUACUAUAACUGUUUCUCUUAUCAGGAAAGGAAGGCAGAAGUUAACCAACUUGGGCAUCAUCACAUCAUUAGUAAGAGGCAGAUCUGGGAUUUGAAGCCAGGUGAUCUGAAGUGCCAUGCUCAACUGAUAAGAUGCUGCUGUCAUGUUCAGGGCUCAGUGGAGGAAAAGUGGGAGGGCCACACUUCUACUGCCCCAUUUGUUUAUUCCUAGUAAUACCACAAUAAAGGGUUGUGUGGAUGUUUACAGAGUUUGAGAAUGAUUCAAUUAAUAAGAGAAACAAAAAUUUUAAACUAUACACAAAAUAUGCCUAUUCCCGUGGUUCAAGGGAUGUAAAACGAACACAAAACAAAAGAAAAUGUAUGACGGGUGCUGUCCUCAUGGGCACAACACAGUUUCUGCCUAGGGUUGUCUGUCCUCAAGUUCAUGCCUCUGUCUUAAAUCCUCCAUAGUGUAAAUCAACACUAUCCUUUAGAAAAGGUACCCUCAGGUGCCCUGCUUCCUGCUUUCAGGAAUAGACUCAUUUUCUCCCCACUAGUGUGUAUUCUGACAUAUAAAAGUCCACAGACCAUUUCCCCCAAAGUGAAUUAUUCAAGCAGGCAUAGAGAUUGUAUUUAAGGAAAAGAUGCUCUAUAAUCUAGAGGAGAACAAUAGGAACAAUCUGUGGUCCAAAGGUCUUCACCACUGGCAUACCAUUCAAAAGGGGUUUGGGUGUUUGCGCCCACCAAACAGUCCUGGAUGGUGUUGCUAGGUCAAACCCCCUCCCCUUUAAGAUCACUCAUCAGCAUGAGGUAUAUAUAUCCUCCUCAAUCUUCUUGGUCACUCAACAGGAAAAUAAUGGUAUGCAUACACCUGAAUACACACACACACACACACACACAAGCUUACCACUCUCCAAAAAAUUGAUUCUCAGCGACAACACAGUCAGUUUAGAUCAUAAUUAGGAAGGGAAACAUUUCUCUAAAUAUCUGCACAAACUUAUGCCAACUGUAAGAACAGCAUUUCACCUUAUUGUGCAGAAUGAUCGAAAGCCCUGCUUUUUUUAUUCUCCUUCCAAACCGUGUUCAGUGGCCUCAGAGGUACAGAAAAAUGGGGCCAUGGAUCCUAUCUUUUCCAAGCAAUAGAGUCUCUGGUGCUUGAUUGCCAACCAAUGGCUGCACAAAGACCUGCCUGAAAUUCUGAAACUGUCAUUUUUCAAACCCCAUUUUAAGGCUGGAUAUUCACUAUUCUCUUUGAAAGAAGGGAGGCAGCAAGAUGGCUCAUCAUUCUCACAUUGCAAAUCAGAAAGAUAGGUAUAGGACCUGCUCUUCCAGGUACUUAAAAAUUUGUGACUCAACAGCACAAUGGUUAUCAAACCAUCUUACCUUUGUUAUGCAACCAAAACCUUCAAAGACAGCUGCCUCAAAUUUGUGGAACUUGGCUGUCCAAAGAGUAAGCCAUUUUGAAUCUUAAAUAGUCUUGUGACCUAGGAUAGAACAUGUUUGUAAUAACAAGAGCAAUUUGUGGUCCAAAAGUCCUCCCCUUUAGCUGCCAGGCAAGCAGAGGAGAAGAAGCCAUCAUUAAGUUAACCCUUGCUGCACCCUGGUUUCAGUGGGAAGAGGCAUAUUAUCCAUUAGAGAAAAAAGGCCGUGUCAAGCAGAAAAGGUCAGGAAAGUACAGUCAGGGAGGCAAAAAAGAGGUUGCAAUAUUAUGAAGUGAGGCCCCAGGAGAGGGAGCAGACAGAAGAUGCUAUUACAGAGACCAUAACCACAGCACUUAAGAAUUGUGCCCCUUUGUGAUCAGUCAUCCUCUGACUUGGACACCGUAUUUCAAUCACUCAUUGUGGGAAGAGCUGAAGAGUUGGAUUUUUGUCUUUUCCAAGAUAGGGAGACAUGACAGAACUCAGGGUCAGGCCUUUGAGAAAGCAAAAGGGGAGAGGAAGAAUUGACUCAGCAUUCAAAAUUCUGGAAACUAUGCCUGACUCUGGGCUUGGUCUGGGAAUAGAAUCAUUUCUAACAAUCCCGAACCAACACUUUUAUGCCUUCUUCUGGAAGAAAACUAAUUGUGCCUAGGAGUUUGGCAUCUAGAGCCACACUUGGAGAUUCCCAGAAAAUUCCAAAGAGAGGGGAGGUCUGGAGAUGGGGGGCGAGAUACAAGGAGAGCAUCUCCAGAACACAUCAGUAGAGUUCCUGUUAGGGAUCUACUCAAUCCUUUGGAUAUUUCUUCAGUCUGGUUACUCUGGGUUGAAGAGCUCCAGAUCUCACCCUGUUUCAGUGAAUCAGAGCUCAGUUAAUUUUCUUGCUGCUCACUCAUCUGAGAGAAACCAGUCUGUUCUGAACUGGAGUCCCUGACUUCAAAGGCCAUUCUAGAAGACACUGCUCUUGAUCUUCCUGCCCACUUGAACACACAAGACAAAUCUAAGACUUAGUGACAGUUAACCUUUAGCAGAUUACUCCUGCAGCUACCUCUACUCCUUGCCAUGCCAGAGCCUCAGUGCAGCCCCUGGCCUGUUGCUCUCUUUGGACGGGUGAACUCUGAGCGUAAUCUCUGCUGGCUGAAAUACCUGACACCUACUCUGGCUAGGAGGUCUCUGUGGCUCCUGAGAAUCCCAAACACCAAAAUCUUCCAUUAUCUUACCUCUGUUAUAUCCUUGUGCUUUGGCAUUGGGGAGCACACAUGACAGAGCAUUCAGUUCACUUUUGCUUGGGGAAAUAGAAAUAAUGAAUCCCACAGAGUUAUGUUGCACAGUGGUGGGUCCACCUUUUCCCAGUAUAACUUUAUAACAAAUUUGUGUGAACCUAAGGUCAGUCUUAUUACACUCAUGAGUGUUACACAUGGGUUUUCUUGGGUGGGUGACAAUGGGCAGAAGUUACAGCUAGGGGGAAGUAUAACUUCCAGUCUCUCUUCUCCAGCCUGACCUGUCAACGUCCCAGCAGUGGGUGGUAGGAAGGGCAUGUGAUGAGCAUCUCCUGUGACUGCAGUCAUGGAAAUUGGUCAAGAACUGCUUUUGAGGAUGGCUUGCAGGAGCCUCCCAUCCUAUAUUCAUCACUUCUAAAUGUGGUGGGCUACUCUCAGAGCUAGGGACUAGAAGGCAGUAGCUGGGGUGAUGGAACCCGGGCUUCAGGGAAUGGCCUCCAGGCAAAGCCCUCUUCCCCUUGGAAACUGAGAUUCUGGUGACUCAGUCUAGGAAAAGCCUCGGGAGAGGGGGCAAGGAGAAACUUUAGGAGGAGUCCUUGUGAAGAAGUUAGUUGUUGUUAUUCCUGGCCUUCCCAUAACUGAUCUCCUUUUCAACUAUGUUAAAUGUGUUAAGCUCCUAAGCUGGGCAUGUGGUAGGAGUUUAACUAAAGAAAAGUGGCGACUUGGAAUCUGUAUAUGACCCCAAAUUCAUAUUCCUUGUUUCUCUCACUUGUCAGAGAUGAUCCCUGACCUGAUAACUGAGAGGACAUGGAUCAAAAUCUCCCUCUGCUUUUACGUUGUGGUGAAAUUUUAAUUCAGCACUGUUUCUUAUGCAUAAAAUAAAGACAUUGGGCUAUAUUUCUUCUAGGCCCAACUGUUUUGUAUUACCCAUUUGUAAAAUGGUACCUUCAAGCCUGUCCAAAGCUAGAAAGUUUGGAGGGCAGUGAAAGGAGGGUAAAUGAGGCUAGGUCAGAGGCUGAUUUGGGUUGGGGAUGGGGAGGAGGGGGAGGUCAAGGGUUUCUGAGGUGAGAUCUAGGCACACUGGGCGAUGUUCUGAGGUUGAUCCAGGCUGCUAGAGGGACCUUGGGUCUGAGGCAGGGCUAAGUGUCAGGAGAACUAGUUGGCCUGACCCCGUUUUCCCUGCAGGCCUGGGAUUGAGGCAGGUUAGACGUUGUGGAGAAGAAACUGUCUUGGAGAAGAAAUGGGACUGCACUCCCAUCACACACUCCUUUCUCCUGCCUGUACGGAGGGUCUGCUGGAACCCCAUAAUAAAGGAAGUGUCUGUCUUCUCACCGACUCACCCGGGACCAGAUGGUUCCACCCUCAGGUCUCCUCACUGCUGAGCAGGGCCGGGGUAGUGCUUGUUUGAGGUCGGCAGAAGUAGCUGAAGAGGGUAUUGCUGAAUGCAGGAAACUUUCUCUGGGGGAAUUUUUGCGUUUAUCUUAUUUUCCCUUGCAUCCCAUGCCCUUGCACUGUCCUCCCGCAGGGGCAAAGUAAACACAACUUUGGGUAGACUACAAAGGAGCCUAAUUUGGCCUCAAAUCCAUUAUCUUGCUCUCCUUCUGUAGAGAGAGGGGAUGGGUAAAUGCUGUGCCUCUGGGCGGAACAGGAGCAGGACAGGACAGAACAGGGUGUCCUCCAACCCUGACUAGGAAAGACCAGCAAGGAAUGGAAGGGCCUUGGAUAGAAGCCAGAUGUGGGGGAGGCAGUGCAGGCUCUGGUCCCCAGGAGAGGCCUCAGGGAGGGCUGGGAACCUUUCUCAGGGCUCAGCUAUGUUGGUAGGGAGGAAAGAGCCGGUUGGCCAGUACAUCCCCCUCUACCUGUAGGAGGGAUAGGUGGUCCAGGUGUCCAAGUCCUGUCUGUGGCCCACACUAAGGUCCUGGGGUGAGAAGGGUAGAGAAGCUAAGCAGCUAGCUGAGGCUUCUGCCUGAGUUGAAGGCAGGCACGGGGUUAGCCUUUUGAAAGAGGUUUAUCUGGGGAGCAGCUCCUGAAUCUCCUGACGGUUCUGGGCCUCACCUUCUAGGAGCGACAGUGAGGGACAGUGGUGAGGGUGCAAAUUCCACAGUAAAAAAGCAGAAUAUCAUAUACAUCAUGUCAACUACGAUAGCAUUUAUUAAUGUGAACUUGUGAUAAAGGAAAUAAUAUUGUAUGGACAUAUGGCAAAAUAUUCACAUUGUGUUUUCACAUUCAGAGGCACAAAGGGAAUUUUAUUUAUUUCUUAAAGAGUUUGGCAUAUUUCCAAAAUUUCUGUUAUCUGAGAGUAACAUUUAAGUUGCCUGAACAAACACAGGAGAAAGACUCAGGGUGCAUGGGGCUUGGGGUUUAUGCCCAGAUUUUCAUCACUGCUUGCCCAGGUCAUGGUGCAGGAUCAUCUUCCCAGGCAGAACAAGGUGUUCUUUGCUUGGAAGCACAAGCUUGGUACUCUUAGCUCAGACCCUCAGGGACUUAUUUCCAUGGAUUGCUGCCUGUCUCGCACGUUCCAAAUGCGGGACUCACCAAGAUGGUCCCUGUGGGGAUUACUUCCUGACCAUGGCAUGUAAGUCUUAGACCCCAGCCAGGCUUGUGGGACGCCCCGCCUCCACUAGUUUCAGUGGAGUUUGCUGGUGAAUGUUGUCUCUGCCAGGCAGAGGAGAUUCUUCUUCUUCUUUUUUUUUUUUUUUACUGAAGACAGCCUUUUUCUUACCUGUUCUCCCUAUUUUCCCAUUGUCAUCUGUGAUUCGGGGUAGAGCCCAACCCAGAGCUCCAGCCCGGGGACUCUUCCCCAGGUUGAAAGAGAAGGAGACAGUAUGGUGUCCUGGAAAGAUAAUGGCCCACUGACUCAGACAGAUGUGCGCCCUGUUCUCUGGGGAAAACUACUCCAACUCUGAGCACCCCUGGUCUUCAACUUAAGAUGAGAUCAAUUAUUUAUAACCUAUGAAGUUGUUCAGAGAAUUUGAAGAGAUCAAGUGUGUAACAACCCAAAGAAUGUUUGACACCAACUAGGAUCUUAAUAUCUGUUCCCUCUCCUUUGCCAUUACCCAUGUGUGUUACUAAGUCCUAACAACUGUAUCAGAUAUACCUCUGAUAGUCCUCUUUUCACUUAUGAGGUCACAGAGGCACAGAGAGGUUCAGUGACUUGUUUAAGAUCACUCAGAAGGUAGGUAGCACACUUGGGCUUCCAUCCCAGGUGUGCAGGGAGUACCCUCCUAGUGAAGGUUAUGUGAUGGAUCAUACUAGGGUGAGCAUAUGUUUGGCUCUGGGAAUGAGCAGUCUCAGAUAAAUGGGCCCCACAUUCACUCUCUCCCCAUGACAGGGGAAUCUGCCAUUACCAUUGCCUGUCUUCUGUGUCGUGACUACUGACUGCAGGGUUAAGGCCAGGAAUUUCAUCCUGCAAGCUUUCAAGAAGGGGCUGUCAGUAGAAAGGCACCAUUCCCUUGUGCCUCUCAGGAUAAACCACACCAACCAUGCCAUUCCUUUUCCAUCAGACGUCUUUGGUUACCUGGUAUGUGCAAGGCAUCAUUCGGUGCUGAAGAGAAAGCAGUGAACACAACACAUGAAACUCUUGCACUCCUGGAGCUUUCGUUCUUGUGAGAGGAGAGAGACAAAAUAAACAUAAAUACGGAAAAGCUAUGGAAUGACAAAUCGGGUUAAGUCCUCUGGAGAAAAGUCAGACAGGGAAGGGGCAUGAGCAGUGCGGUCAGGGAGUUUUGCACACAGAUAUAAAUAUAUUGGGAGAAGCUUCCAGAUAGGAUACCACUUAGUGGAGGCAAGAGAGAUGGCACGAAUAUAUGUCACCAUCUGGAGGAAGUAAGGUCAAGGCGGGGAACUGUGGGAAACUCAUUUCCAGCCCUCUCUACCUCCCCUCCAGUCACCCUUUCUAGUGUCUAAUCCAAAUAUAUCUUCCUCUUUUUCCCCAUAACACCCAGUGUAAGUCUGUCCCACUGUAAUAAUUUAUGAUCUUUGUCUCCCUCGAAAAAAUUAAUAACUGAGCCUUGAGGGAAACUGAGAUCAGCUUCACUUCCUCACCUGUUUUUCCUGGGCUGUCCCAUCCAUCCUUCAGAGGGAUGCUACACUGGGCAGUCAGAUCAUCUCUGGAGUCUUAGGUUCUGAUCCUGGUGACUUACUGUGUGAGGGAUGUAGUACCACUGGAGGUCAUGCUGAGGCAAGUGCCUGGGAUGGUUAUGGUACUUGAAAAGGACUGAGCAACUCACUCACAAGUACUCAGUGACCCCAGCUUUGUUAUAUCUGAAAGACAUCUGAAAUACAACCGAAGUGAAGAGGUAGCAGGGAGAGCUUCUACACCAAUGUUAAUUCUUAUCUUAUGAUAGAUCUCAUAAAAUGAAAUGAGUGUUUGGGUGGCUUGAAUUCUAAGAAGCUGGAGGAAUGCAAACACAGACAGGGUGUACCCUCUUCUGGGAAUGUUGUAGAGAGGAUUCAGUUGGUUUGAUCUGAAAUUUAUGAUUCUGUGAUUCUAGUGAGAUGCCUGAGGGCAGGUGAUAGGAAUAAAUAAAGCUGGAACAUCCCACCAGGACCUUCUCAAGAAUGGGCUCCAGGAUGUUCCGGCUGCUUCUGCUGGGCAUAUUCACAGCGCUCUUCAUGGACGAGGGCAACAGAGUCCUGACAUCGAAAUGUAUGGUGUAGUUGGUUUGCAGUUCUGGGAUAAAUAAUGCCAUUAUGAGAGGGGAUAUUCUUGAUUUCUUUACACGCUGUCUCUCUGCCCUCCCUCACUCUUCUCGCUCACGGCUGUAGUGUCUCCUGUCUGCCCCCAGGCUUGGGUGAAGUCGCGGGGCGGGGCUGGGGGGGGUCCUUGACUCCUUGAAGGGUCAUAGCUAUCACCCAUUCAAGGAGUAAGGACUCCUAGCAGAAGCUGGGAGGUAUGGCAACUUCCUUCUUGUGAGGACUGUGCCACUCAAGUAUAAAUACUUACAGGUGGGGGCAGCCUUCUGCAGCAGAAUCACUUUCCCUAGAGCUCUGCUUUGAAGUUUUCCUUUUUUUCUUUAGGGAUUCGAUAUUGCCAUAAAUGUGAUCUCUAUGAUGGAUACAAAUGCCUCAGUUCCAUGGGACGUUGCUGGAAGUUUAAUGUAUUGAAUUAUGAAAGGGUUUGUACCACAGAUCACUUUUACUUUAAUGAUCGCCUUACAGGUAAGUGGGGGUCAGAGAAAGACAUGGAAUAUUACCAGUGGUACCCACAGUCCCAGGCUUAUGGUGUGGGGGGAGACUGGGACCACGGGAGAGGGUGGGGAAAGCGGGAUUCUCCAUACACAGAUGUGGGGUGGAGGCUGUGUGGGAGGCAGAUGUCUUUUGCCUGGUCCUGUCUAGAGAGACAUAGAUGAGAUGCAGACACAGCCUUGGGGCUCAUUCCAGCCUACAGAAAAAUGAGGAGGGUCUGGAAAGAAGUCAUUGUUAGGAAGAUGGUGCGAUUAAGCAAGGUGAUCACCUUUCUUUUCUUUUCCUCUUUAGGGAGAUAUUUCUAUCGUUAUUCAACUCUAUCUUGUAGGGCUUGUGAAGAGGGAAUGGUCCGGCUAUUCCAUGACUUAGUGAGAGAAACGUAUUGCUGUAAUUCGGGAGACAGGUGUAAUGAUGGCGACAGCAGUAUGGAUCUUAUACAUCCAUAUCGAAGCAGACCGAAGGAGGACAAUCCAGAAUCUACUUAAGAUUUUAAACCGUCUCUCCCAGUAACCUUUGCCCUUCUGCUACCAAUGGCAACAUCAUCUCACACUUUCUCAGACCUAAGCCCAACUCUCUGUUCCAGCAGAUCUACCUAUGGAAGCUCUUUCUCUUCCGCAUCAGUGCUUCUAAUAACAGGAAAGUGUAAAGCCAUAGGCCACAAAAACCCCAUCACUGCUUUCUGGUUGGAUUUGCCUGUCUUUGCUACCUAAUACCUAUUGGCAAUCUUUACCUGCCCUUACGUUCUGAUGCUAAACCUGGGCUAAAGUCAGAGUUGUAAAGUUUCUGGAAAGGGGGCAAAGUAUUUUUCUGGUAGAGCUUCUGAGAGAAGAUCAGGAGAAAGCAGACUAGAUAGAAGUAGGAACAACACAUCACAGGAGAUUUUUAGGAGAAAUAUUUGGGAGGAGAGUAGACGAAGUAUUUGAUGGACAGUAGAAAAGGCUCGUGUUAAGUAGGGGCUUGAGAAAGUUAAUGUGAAAUUAGAAAACUCUAACUUCUGUGAAAGGAAUAGUCAAUGUACUAGACCUCAGAGUCUUAGUGCCUUCCACCAUUUUGGGAAACUGUACCAAUCACAGCUACUCCUGACCACAUAACCUUAGCUCACCACGUUUCUAAUCAUCUUAUCUUGUUCUCAUGGCUAAGGCCAAGUAAAUCAGGAUAGACACUUGGCUGAGUGUUGGCCAAUUAAUCUCCUUGCAUAUAAGAAAUACUCUACCACCUAGUCCUCAAAAAUAUUUAUAUAUUACCUUGCCUUCAAUGCACUCUUUGAUAGAAAGCUGAAUGUUUUUCAUCUAUUGGCCCAGCUCUGCAACAGAUAAUGUCAAGGAGAGAUAAGAGUUUCAGAUCUUCACUGUAGUUUUUCUAACAAAAAUAAUAAGCUCUGAAAUGGCAAAACUUAAUCCCCAAAUUAUUCUUCACUCACUUUAGGUUAAAUUUUUUUUUGUCAUAUUAACCUUCGUAUGUGUUAGAAUCUAGACACUAUUGUAUUUGGUUUUUAGUUAUAUAAUUAAAUACACAUAUAUAAUAUUAUACUAGGUUUAGUAGUAUUCCUUCUAAUAUCCAGGCUUAUGAUUGCUUAUUACUUUCUGCUGUAUUAUAGUUGCAUAAAUAGAACAAAAUAUUUUAAUAUACAAAUUAAUUUUAAAUAUUUGCAAUAUAUGUGAGCUGGGAUAGCCUCCAAAUUGUAUCAUGUUAGGACGGAUAUUAUACUUUAGUAGCUUGAGAAGUAGAAAAUAUGGUAGAUUCUUCCAUUCAGGGUUGAUUUGUCCAUAAUUAGUUUAUAUGGAUAGCAUGGAGAUGCUAGCACGGUCCAAUAAUGAAAUGAUUCGUGGGUGAAUUACUGCUCUGUGUUAGUGCUUAGAAUGGUCCCAAGCAAGAAACUAAGAGGAAAGCUUCAGACUAGAGAAGAGACGCAAUGUGGAUGGUGAAGAAGUUAACUGGUAGCAGAAAGAGUAGCAGCUAGACACUGAGUGAUACAGAUGAAUGGAGACUGACUUGUAGAGACUGACUCACAAUCUUGUAGCUAAGCUUGAAGUGAAGAUUCAUGAACCACUGUGGCGAAACCCCCAGAGUUUCAUCAUAUCCAGUCUGGCCCUCUAGGUCCAAUCUUCUCUAGCCUGUCCCAUUAUGUUUUCUGUCUUGGAUUGCCAUGAGAUUCUGACUCCUACAUUGCCCCAUGUUACAAUACCCCAUCACUCCUAAUUUUCUUGGUCCAAUUGAAGUACGUCUCUGUUCUUUACAUUUUAAUAAGAAAACCAAAUGGGAAGUAGAGGAAACAAUGAGGGAGGCCAGACCCUGAACAAGUGCAGUAAUUCUAGAUUCAGGUCCAGAAUACUGUUCCAGGGUAAGGAAUCCUUGCUUAGGGGUGAACCUAGACUGGCAAAAUUGAUCAAAGGAGGAAAACCAACUGUAUGGAACUAUAAACAUGUAGGAUUAUUAAUAUUAGGAAAAAAGGAUUUCUUUUGCAUAAGUGCAAAAUCCUAGAAAUCCAGUAGAAAUGUGUUCAUUAUUGACAAAAUAUCAGAAAACCACAUCUCAAAACUUUUGUUCUGUUUGCAAAUUUUGUACAAGUCAUGGUUGGAUGGAAUAUCAGGUGGCUGGCUCCAUAAUCUCAGUGUACUCUCUCUGGAGGCAUUAUAUGAUCUGGGGCUUACUAUUUGACCUCAUGUUUUUUAUGGACUGGCCUCUAAAACAACUGCUGAAUGUUUCAAAAUGUGCCUUGUGUGUAUUCCACACAUAUGUGUGGAUUGCCUGAUUUAUGCUGUAUUGGUGCUGCUAAUGGUGACAAAGAAAAACUGGAUAAACAAAAAUUAAUUGUAUUCUUUUACGAUUUCAGUAUAUGUUUAGUUGUAGUUCUAUUGCAGACUCAUUGGGGCAGACUGCUCACUGGCCCUCAGACAGAGGAAACAGCCCCCAGGAAGGACACUGUGAACCACGACUGGGAAGAGGCUGUGAGUCAGGAAGCUGCAGCUGCCUGCCUUAGGGUUCUUGGGUUGGCUUUAAAGCUUUGCUUAAGACUUUUAAAGUAGGACUGCGGUCUUUCAGUUGGGAACAAAUUGGAGGGAGCUGUGUAAUUUAUGAACCUCCACAAAUUAUCUUAUAAAAAAGGCAGAACAAUGAGGAUUACAAAAGGAAAGUGCCAUAGAAAAAAUCGGGUCCACUAGGGUGGCCUCAGCCCUUGAGGAUCUCAGAAAUAUAGAAAUAUGCCACUAGAAUUCCUUCCGUAAAAAUAGAGCUCCGUCCUGAGGAAGAAAGCAACCAUUGGUAGAGAUGAAAUUGAGCAGAGUAGAAAGACUAAGGGUACAGGAGAAAGUUCAAAUAUUGGUUGGGGAGGGGAGAAGCGGUAGGAAAUCUUGGAAAUCACUACAGAGGUUGCUAUAUAGAGAUGAAAAACAUUUUUAGCUACUUCUGUUUCAGUACCUUCAAGAGAUGGAGCUAGGAAAGCUCUCCUGGUCCACUUCCAUUCCCAACACAGGAAUCUCCUUAAGCACUGGAAGAACACUUUUUUUUUCUUUUUGAGGAAGAUUAGCCCUGAGCUAACUGCUGCCGAUCCUCCUCUUUUUGCUGAGGAAGACUGGCCCUGAACUAACAUCCAUGCCCAUCUUCCUCUACUUUAUAUGUGGGAUGCCUACCACAGCAUGGCGUGCCAAGCGGUGCCGUGUCCACACCCGGGAUCCGAACUGGUGAACCCUGGGCUGCUGAGAAGAGGAACGUGCGACCUUAACCGCUGCACCGCUGGGCCGGCCCCAAAAGAACACAUUUACUUUAAACAUGUAUGACAUAAGAGGACUGCAGAUGAACCCAUAUGCUAAUGUUGUAGGAAAAGUGAACUGAAUACCAUACUGAUAGAAAAUGAAAGAAUACCACAAAAAUAUGGCUUCAAAAUAGAUAGAAACUCAAUGUGACAUUUUAAAGGGAACUAAAAGAAAUGAGAGAAAUGAUAGAAACUAUGAAAAAGCAGCAUAGAUCAAAAUAAAAACCAUUCAGCUUGC